rnacentral:misc_RNA from 1 species
UGGCCUUAAAAGCAUUAGCUGAUCCUUGUGUGGCACUGGUUCUACUCAGCGUGAUAACAGUCUGAUCGUUGAGGACAUCUUUUGGGAUGGCCGGUCUUCAUUUGGGUUGCUUCUAAACCUGGGUUUUGCAGAUUGUUUCAAUCUGUAUUCCACUUUUCAGCUUUGACCUCGAAUCAGGUGGGACUACCCGCUGAACUUAA